AUUGAACGCUGGCGGCAGGCUUAACACAUGCAAGUCGAACGAGUGGCGGACGGGUGAGUAAUGCUUGGGAAUCUAGCUUAUGGAUGGGGAUAACUACGGGACACUGUAGCUAAUACCGCGUACCAUAGGAUGAGCCCAAUUGGGUGUAGGUAGUUGGUGAGGUAAAGGCUUACAAAGCCGACGAGCUCUAGCUGGUCUGAGAGGAGGACCAUCCACACUGGGACUGAGACACGGCCCAGAGUCCUACGGGAGGCAGCAGUGGGGAAUAGUGCGCAAUGGGGGCAACCUGACGCAGCCAUGCCGCGUGACUGAAGAAGGCCUUCGGGUUGUAAAGUUCUUUCGGUAGCGAGGCGUUAACUACAGAAGAAGCACCGGCUAACUCCGUGCCAGCAGCCGCGGUAAUAC
rnacentral:rRNA from 1 species